rnacentral:rRNA from 1 species
AGCGAACGCUGGCGGCAGGCCUAACACAUGCCAGUCGAACGAACUCUUCGGAGUUAGUGGCGGACGGGUGAGUAACACGUGGGAACGUGCCUUUAGGUUCGGAAUAACUCAGGGAAACUUGUGCUAAUACCGAAUGUGCCCUUCGGGGGAAAGAUUUAUCGCCUUUAGAGCGGCCCGCGUCUGAUUAGCUAGUUGGUGAGGUAAAGGCUCACCAAGGCGACGAUCAGUAGCUGGUCUGAGAGGAUGAUCAGCCACAUUGGGACUGAGACACGGCCCAAACUCCUACGGGAGGCAGCAGUGGGGAAUCUUGCGCAAUGGGCGAAAGCCUGACGCAGCCAUGCCGCGUGAAUGAUGAAGGUCUUAGGAUUGUAAAAUUCUUUCACCGGGGACGAUAAUGACGGUACCCGGAGAAGAAGCCCCGGCUAACUUCGUG